AAGUCUAAUCUGCCCACUGAAGAUUUUAAUGGCCGCAGUAAUUUGACUGUGCAAAGGUAGCAUAAUAAUUAGUUUUUUAAUUGAAAGCUAGAAUGAAGGAUUGGACGAGAAUAAGUCUGUUUUAAUUUAAUUUAAUUAGAAUUUAAUUUUUAAGUAAAAAAGCUUAAAUAUUAAUUAAAGACGAGAAGACCCUAUAGAAUUUUAUAUUUUAUUUUAAAUUAAAUUUAUAGGAUUGUAUUUUUAUUUAAAUUUAAAGUAAUUUACUGGGGUGGUAGAAAAAUUAAUUUAACUUUUUUAUUAUUAAAUCAAUUAUUAUUGAUUGUUUGAUCCUUUAGUAAAGAUUAAUAAAUUAAAUUACCUUAGGGAUAACAGCGUAAUUUUUUUGGAGAGUUCUUAUUAAUAGAAAAGAUUGCGACCUCGAUGUUGGAUUAAGAUAAAGCUUUAAUGGAGAGGUUAAAGUAUUAAGUCUGUUCGACUUUUAAAAUCUUACAUGAUC
rnacentral:rRNA from 1 species